rnacentral:tRNA from 1 species
AGCUUCUUAGCGCAGUAGGUAGCGCGUUGGGCUCAUACAAACCCUAUGAUAUCCUUUCCACUUUCGAGUGGCGAUACCCAAAGGUCGUCGGAUCGAAACCGACAGAAUCUA